rnacentral:rRNA from 1 species
ACUCCUACGGGAGGCAGCAGUGGGGAAUUUUGCGCAAUGGGGGAAACCCUGACGCAGCAACGCCGCGUGAGUGAUGAAGGCUUUCGGGUCGUAAAGCUCUGUCAGUGGGGAAGAAAUGGGACUGGCUAAUAUCCAGUCUUCUUGACGGUACCCACAAAGGAAGCACCGGCUAACUCCGUACCAGCAGCCGCGGUAAUACGGGGGGUGCAAGCGUUGUUCGGAUUUAUUGGGCGUAAAGCGCGUGUAGGCGGUUUUUUAAGUCUGAUGUGAAAGCCCUGGGCUCAACCCAGGAAGUGCAUUGGAAACUGGAAGACUUGAAUACGGGAGAGGGUAGUGGAAUUCCUAGUGUAGGAGUGAAAUCCGUAGAUAUUAGGAGGAACACCGGUGGCGAAGGCGGCUACCUGGACCGAUAUUGACGCUGAGACGCGAAAGCGUGGGGAGCAAACAGGAUUAGAUACCCUGGUAGUCCACGCCGUAAACGAUGAGAACUAGGUGUCGCGGGUA